rnacentral:rRNA from 1 species
AGACUUUGAUCCUGGCUCAGGACGAACGCUGGCGGCGUGCCUAACACAUGCAAGUCGAGCGAAGCUCAUAGAUACAGCUUGCUGAACCUUUGAGACUGAGCGGCGAACGGGUGAGUAACACGUGGGUUAUCUGCCUUAAAGCCUGGGAUAACAGCUGGAAACGGCUGCUAAUACCGGAUGAUGUCUUUUACUUGAAGAAGUUUAAGACCAAAGCGUUAUGUAGUGCUUUAAGAUGAGCCCGCGUCCCAUUAGUUAGUUGGUGGGGUAAUGGCCUACCAAGGCGACGAUGGGUAGCCGGUCUGAGAGGAUGGACGGCCACACUGGAACUGAGACACGGUCCAGACUCCUACGGGAGGCAGCAGUGGGGAAUUUUGCGCAAUGGGGGCAACCCUGACGCAGCGACGCCGCGUGAGCGAAGAAUGCCUUCGGGUUGUAAAGCUCUGUUGAGGGGGAAGAAUAGUGACGGUACCCUUU